UGGGGAAUAUUGCACAAUGGGCGCAAGCCUGAUGCAGCCAUGCCGCGCGUGUGAAGAAGGCCUUCGGGUUGUAAAGCACUUUCAGCGGGGAGGAAGGCGUUAAGGUUAAUAACCUUGGCGAUUGACGUUACCCGCAGAAGAAGCACCGGCUAACUCCGUGCCAGCAGCCGCGGUAAUACGGAGGGUGCAAGCGUUAAUCGGAAUUACUGGGCGUAAAGCGCACGCAGGCGGUCUGUCAAGUCGGAUGUGAAAUCCCCGGGCUCAACCUGGGAACUGCAUUCGAAACUGGCAGGCUAGAGUCUUGUAGAGGGGGGUAGAAUUCCAGGUGUAGCGGUGAAAUGCGUAGAGAUCUGGAGGAAUACCGGUGGCGAAGGCGGCCCCCUGGACAAAGACUGACGCUCAGGUGCGAAAGCGUGGGGAGCAAACAGG
rnacentral:rRNA from 1 species